AAAGAAAUUGCCAUGGCUGAAGUACGAUGCUAAGAAGGCUGAGUUUCUGGAAGCUAAAAGGCAAGAGCAAGAUGCCAAAAAGAAGCUGGAUGAAGCUGCUGAGAAUUUGAAUGAACUCAUGGAACCUAUAGAGGAAAAAAAGCAAGAGAAAGCCGAACGAGAUGCUAAAUGCAAAAAAGUAAACGGCCUGUUGGGUGAUAAUGCCAACAAGCGUAUGAAACUUCUGGAUCAGGAUAGCCGUUUGGAUGUUCAAGUGAAUGGAAAAUAUAAAGAAAUGGAAGACUUGAGGAAGCAAGAAGAAUCUCGUCAACGUCGAAUUUCAAAAGCUCAAGAAGAUCUUAGUGCUGCCGAAUUGGAACUUGCAAAUCUUCCUUCUUAUGAACCUCCCAGAGGCAAAAUUGAUAGUUUGGGUUCUAAAAUUUUGGAGCUGCAAGAUGGUGCACGGGAGCUAAGGUCUCAGAAAUCAGAAAUAGAAAGAACCCUUGAUCGGAAUAGGACAACAUUCAGACAGUGCACUGAUAAAUUGAAGGAGAUGGAGGACACAAACAACAAAAGGUUACGUGCUUUACGGAGUUCUGGUGUUGAAAAGAUAUUUGAAGCUUACAAUUGGGUUCAGGAGCAUCAACAUGAAUUUAAUAAGCGUGUCUAUGGUCCAGUUCUUCUUGAGGUCAAUGUUUCCAAUCGGAUUCAUGCAGAUUACCUAGAGGGUGAUGUACCAGGAUACAUAUGGAAGGCCUUUAUAACACAAGAUGCUGCUGACCGUGACUUGUUAUUCAGAAAUAUGCGAUCAUUUGAUGUUCCUAUUAUAAAUGUUACAGAUAGAAGUCAGAGCCGUGCUCCCUUUCAAAUUACUGAGGAGAUGCGUAUGCUAGGUAUCAAUUCAAGGCUUGACCAAGUUUUUGAUGCUCCCGAUGCCGUCAAUGAAGCUCUAGUCGAUCAAUUUCGGUUGGACCAUUCUUACAUAGGCUCACGUGAAACUGACAAGAGAGCAGAUGAGGUGUUGCAAUUGGGUAUCUUUGAUUUAUGGACCCCUGAAAAUCAUUACAGAUGGACCAAAUCCAGAUAUGGUGGUCAUGUUUCUGGCAGUGUUGAAUCAGUGGACCGCUCUCGUUUUUUGCUAUGCAAUGUGGAUGCUGGGGAAGUUGAGAGGCUCAAGUCCCAGAAACUUCAGUUGGAUGAAGCAAUCUCUACACUAGAAGAUAAUCUCAGGGCAGUUAAGAGUGAGUUGAGGAACAUAGAAGAUGAAGGUGCCAAACUUGAAAAACAACGUGAAGAGAUUAUAAAUGAGUCACUACAUGAGAAGAAAAAAAGGCGUGAG
rnacentral:misc_RNA from 1 species